rnacentral:lncRNA from 1 species
UGUCACCCAGGCUGGAGUGCAGUGGUGUGAUCUUGGCUCACUGCAACCUCUGCCUCCCGGGUUCAAGCGAUUCUCCUGUCUCAGUCUCCUGAGUAGUGGGGACUACAGGCAGGCAACACCAAGCCUGGCUAAUUUUGUAUAUUUGGUAGAGACAGGGUUUCACCAUGUUGGCCAGGCUGGUCUCAAACUCCUGACUUCAGGUGAUCCUGACCUUGGCUUCCCAAAGUGCUAGGAUUCCAGGCGUGAGCCACCGCACCUGGCUUGCAAAUUUCUAUUUCUAAUUGAGCCAGCAUUUCUUCCCAAAGGUUCACUGGAAAAUCACUGACAUGAAGAAGAUUGAUUAAUAGGAAAAAAGGCAUACACAUUUAUUUAAUGUGUAUACACAGGAGCCUUCAGAAUGAAGACCCAAAGAUAGAGGGGAAAUUGUCCACUUUUACACUUAGGUUCAAGACAGUAUGGAUAGUCACAUAGAAAUAUGACUGGACAAAAAGGGUCUGAUGGAAUGCUAGACUAGACUGAGUAGAAAGCGCAGCAAGGCCUGUCUGCCUAGAUUCUUCCAGGCAUCCAUGCCGCAUUCCUUCCUUCUGGGUAUGGGACAGGAUCCUUUCUGGAGUGGGGGUCUUAUGACCUACAGUCAAAUAAGAUAGGUUAGAUGAGGUCUUUAUGGCCAGUUUUUACACAGAAAGGUGGAAGGAAAGCUAGAGUUGUAUUUUAGGUUUUAUGGCUGGCUUUGGGGAAAAGGGGUUCUGGUUUUUAUAUCCGCCUUGGGGAAGAGGGAUUCUGGUUUCUAUGGCUGGCCUCGGGGAGAAUGAGGGGCAAGAGAUAGGAGGGCAGGAGAAGAUCAGAGAAAAACUUUUGCUUCUGAGGCUAAGCCUUCCUUUUGGGGUAUUGUUUUCUGAGUCCCAACACUUGUUAUUUGGAACAACUCAUUAGAAUGUAGGGACUGGGGCUAUGUCAUGUAUUAACAUCUCCCAGGGAGCUGUCAGCCUCCCUCAGCAAAUGCUUCCUGAAUGCAUGAAUGAACCAAUGAGUGUUGGCCAUGCAAAGUCAGUAGUUUUCUGCCAACCCCAUGAGUUCCACCAGUCGUCUCCAGAGAUUCCUUGCAAAGAACUUGGUACUGGGGCAUGUACUUAUAAUGUCUCCUUCUUUUUCCUUCUAUUCUAUCAUCCUGUGUCUUGUCCAGCCUCCAGGAGUUCAGUGAGAAAGGAAACACACACACACACACUACAAAAACCAGGAGAAAAAAACCAUUAAAAAAUCCCACUGUAGGAAGAUUCUGCUGCCUCUAGACUUUAGGAAAGCCGCUGACCUAAUUCAUUUGCUAUGGUGGCUUUUUCAUCCUCAGGACUGGUGCUGCCUGUGUAGUUCAGCCUGUGAAGGCUCCCUUUCAAGUAGGCCAGCUGCAUGGUAUUCUGGACUUACAAUGUGCAGGGCAGAUGUAGUGUCCCCUUGAAAUACACUUAACGGUGGGCAACAAAAUCCAAAAGCAAACCCCCACAAAUAUCUAACUUAAAAAAAAAGAACUUUCUAGAUCUCAGUCCUCAUCUGGAUACUUCAUUAGGAUCCUGAGACAUCUGGGGACCAGCGAUGGAAAGAAGGAAAGAGACUUCCAUAUGUUGAGAGCCUAUUAUAUGCCUGCAUUGUGCUAAGCCCUUUCCCAUAUGUUAUCCAAUGUAAUCCCCCACAAAAGCCCUGCCAGAGUGGAAUUAUUCUUCUCAUUUUACAAAUAAGAAAACAGUAGCUCGGAGAUGCUAAGUUACUCGCCCAAGGUCACAUAGACGGUAAGUGGUAGAUGCUGAUUUGAAUCCAGACAGUGUCAUUAUCAAGGGGUGGUUUGGGAGGCUUUCGUUGUAACCAUCAUCUGUAGCAGCCCCCUUCUCCACAAUUAUCCCAAAUAAACACACAAUCUAAGUCGGAAGAGCCUACAGGAGGCAAAAAUGUAGCUUCAAUAUGUGCUUCCCUGUCAUCUCCCUUUCAUUGAGAUUAUUGCUGCCCCAAAUCCUGUCUACACAGACAUUCUGGAGUCCGUACUAAAUCAAGAUUUGUCUGGCUGCAAAGACCAUGUUCUGUCCAACACAACCAGGAUGCCUCUUCUCUUAGAUUCCUACCAAGAAGACCUUGCUUCUUGAAACCCUUACCUAGAAGAGCCAAUGAAUCAGUGUAGGAUUUCCCUAAUGGUGGCUGGCACCAUAGGUUCCAAAAUGUCACCACCAGCUCUAAGUCAUCAGCCCUUUAAACGCCUCCACACAUCCCGGGGUAUACUGACGCGAGGAGUCACAGUGGGUAAGCAUCACUAGGUUGCAGAAGCACUGGGCUAAUGGUGUGGAUGAGGGUUUCAAUUUACUUGGAAACAUCCACGGGCCAAGGUUCAGUUCAUUUUAGGUUUCGACUAAGUUUUUCCAGGCUCUAAAUGUAGAGAGCAGGGGUGUUUAAAGUGACUGUCCUGACACAGGCUGUUCCCUAGGGGCCACUCUAGCUUCCUUCUUGGAAGUGUGAUGUGGGUCCAGAGUUCAGGCCAGCCACGGUCUUGGAUUCCAGAUGGGAGUUCAUUUUUAGAGACCAAAUGGUCAUAAGUGAACAUGUCAUCUUGGGCUAGCUGGAAAAUACAAACACCAGCCCAGAGUCCAGGAAUUCAGGAUUGUAAAUAGGUGAAAGCACCCUUCACCUUCUCUCCUCCUUCCCUCAAGGUGGUUCACAUACAACUAUUAGCAAUUGACAUUCAUAGCUCUUGUACUUCACAGUAUUUUCAUGCCUGGGACUCUGUUUUGAUCCCUGCAAGUACAGUGUUAUGAUACUCCUUUUAUGGAUGAUGAAUUGGAGACACCAAGAGGUUCAGAGCUUCUUCCAAAGUCAUAGAGCCAGUGAGUUGUGAAGACGAGGGGCUCAGUCUUCCGAUUCAUGCAAAGGGUUGAUGUGACAUUUUCAGAGCCUAGUUCUAGCUUCAUUGUGCUGGAAAGUGGUCUUGGCCUGAGGACAGCAGGGUGCUUCAGAGUCCAGUCUGAUGCCCUUUGGCAGCCACACACCCUCCUGUGAAGGCACCACAAAUUCCUUGGGAGGGAGACGCGUUCCAGAUGUGUAUGCCGCCUCUAGAGAAAACGUGGCUUCUUCUGGUGAGCCACAUGCAAGGUGUCUCGCUGGCCACUGUGAAGUGGGGAGAGACGCCUGGAGCAAGCCAUGAUCUCUGCCAGCACUGGAAUCACCAACAUCCUUGAGCUUCCUUCAGUCUGAUGCAGAACCUGAGGACGUGGCCAUCUCUUGGUGGUGUUCUGGGAAAGCAGGAAGUCUUCAGACCUGAUUGUCUUCAGAUUUCAGCCAUGGGCUCCCUGGUGAGCCAUCUCAGGGGUAUAGGAAACAUGGAUGCCGCCCCGGAGGCAGCUCUCAGGUUUGCUGAAAAAUCAACUCACAAAAGGAGAUUAAUUGGAAUAAAGGCAUACAGAUCAAUAUGCGCAUGGGGGAGAACCGUGGAGUGAUUACCCCACCAUCUGCAUUGAGCGCAAUCUGGGAUCUCAGGGGCUGACAGCAGAGAAGUUACCUGAAGGCGCAACAAGCAGUGGUCCCUGUAGGCAGAAGCUACCUGGUGCCCCAGUGAUGUGGGAGGCCCUCAGUUCCUGCGCUUCUUGCUGCCUGGGCACAUGUUCCCGGAGGAUGGCAGGACCUCCUGGCCUCUCCCCUGUCUACCCGCCAGAGCUCUGCUUCUUAAGAUAAGACCACCUCUUUCCUCCAGCCAAUGUGCUGCUCUUCUGACUUCAAAACACUUGCACUUCCAGGGCUCAACGUACAGUGAGUUCUCAAGGAUUCGGUGAAUAAAUGUACAAAUGUCUCCCGUUACAGCUGCCACAUUCAGUGGGGUAGGUCUUAUGAUCAUUUCUCUGAGGAAGGGUGCUGUGCUCAUGGUCUCAGUCUGCAAAUUGCAGACUGAGAAUCCAACGAAGGCACCUGCUCUCUGCCCCCGCACCCCCCCACCGGCCCCAAGGCUGACCCUCUCCUCCCCUGGUAUCAGCUCGAAGCAUUGUUGGAGUCCCCAGGGACCCGGAUGCUUCCCUGUGUGCCCUGUCUUUGAGGUGCCCGCCAUCUCAAGUCAAGACACACAGCAGGGUGUGAGAGGCCAGGGAGCCCAUGGGAAUUCCAGGGGAUGCUCUCAGCGUGUUUUGUGAGGAACGACUGGCUCACCUAGUCAGGCCUGGGACAAAAUAUCACCUGCUGAAGGAUGAUUGGCUGUGGCGCUGGCCUUGUGCUGGAAGAGGGCCUCUGAGAGCACAGGGAACUGCCCCUGGGCAUUUUCUCACAAUUGUUCCGAGGGUUAGAGGCUGGAUCCCAGGAACCGCGUGUGGCCACUCUGUCCUUCUUCAGAGAGAGAUUCAACUUCCGGAGCCAGGGUCACCCCUAAUGGCUCACUUCCCUUCCUUCCCCUGCCAGGAUUUUCCCCCAGAUUAUCUUGGGGUUGUCUCAGCCCUUACCAUACCUCAUCCUUCCCAGCAGCAGCCCGCCAGCCCCACGCGGAGUGUUCUACUCUUUCCAAAGACAGCCCACAUUUCGGGGUCUCCUGCACCCCCAAAUGUGGGAUUGGUAAGAUGCACGCUUCCUGACUUGGGUUUCUUCUUUCAUUUGCAGUUAAAAACCAUGACCACAAAAGAGACAUCCACAACUCGCUGUAAUAGGCGCUUGCAUAAUAGACGUGGGGACAGUGUUUGGGGGAACAGGAUAGGGUGGCUCUGUUUUUCCAACAGUUGUGAGAUUCAUUUUGGUGAAGUAAGAAGGUUUUACAGGGUCCUCUAAGACAGAAGGGGUUUCCUGGGAAGGAAGCUGGCUUAUCAACCUGCCUCCUCUCGCUCACCUGGUGCUAGCUGCUUACUUUCCACCCUUUGCCCUCUGCUGAAGGGAGAGUUUGAACAUCUUUAGAUUCUUUUCUUUGCUUGGCAAGAUGUGCUGUAUUUAUUCAACUUAGCCUCAAGGUUAAGCACACAGACCCUUGUCAGAAGCCAGACAGCGAGUGUUCAAAUCCCAGCUGUGUCACUUACCAGCUCUGUCACACCUUGGGGAUGUGACUUCACUUGCCUUGAUUUCCUCAUCAGUGAAAUGGGGAUAAUAAUAGUACUUGCCCCAUAAACAGGGAUAAUAGUACUUACCUUAUAUAAUAAGGAUUACAUGUAAACAUUUAAUAUACAUAAAGCUCUUGUUUGUUUGUUUUUAGAGACAGGGUCUCAGUCUGUCAUCCAGGCUGGAGUGCAGUGGCAAGAUGCUAGCUCACUGCAGCCUUGACCUCCUGGGCUCAAGGAAUCUUCCUAUUUCAGCUUCCUGAGUAGCUAGGAGUACAGGUGCAUGCCACCAUACCUGGCUAUUUUUAAAACAUGCUUUUAUAUAGAUGGGGUCUUGCUCUGUUUCCCAGGCUAGUUUUGAACUUCUGGCCUCAAGCACUCCUCCCACCUCAGCCUCCAAAGUAUGGGGAUUAUAGGCAUGAGCCACUGUGCCCAGCCAAACAGCUCUUAAAAUAUACAAAAGCUCUUAAAAUAGUGCCUAGCACAGUGUUUACUAUUGUCACUAUCUACUUGGAUUCUCUGCCUGUUGGUCUCCACUUUGCACAAUUAUUUGUGGACAUUUGAGAUCGUCGAGUUCUCGAGAACCAGUCAGGCUGAUUUACCUCCAAUGUACGUGUAAUAUGUUUUUUUCCUUUUCUGGAACUGAGCAACAUCCUCCAAGUUUGUCCACUCUCCGAGUGUCUUAACUGCCCCCGGUAGAGAGGCAUUUAGCAAACAGAAACAGAUUACAGAGACCCUCGUGGCCACAUGCAAUUUGCAGUUGCUCUCAAGAGUGGGUGUGGUCACUUGUUGUUCCCUUUAGCCAUCAUAUCAGCUGCCUGGGUGAGGGGUCAGUGUGCCAAACGUUCCUGGUGGGAAAUGACUUGGUUUCCCAUAUGAGCCCCGACCUUCACUGGCCUCUCCCUCUUAGAACUCCCAUUAACCACCAUGUGUGCUGGUCACUGCAGCUGAAUCCAUCCACAGGGGCUGCCCAGAAAAAGACAAUGACUUCUGCAGGGCUGGGGAGGCUGUCCUCGUGAAAAUAACUGAAUCUACCCGAGUGUGUGGCCUGUGCUGGGGAAACGUGGGUGACUUGAAUGAUGUCAGGCAAUCAGUGCAAUUGAAAUAUGUCAAAAAUGGCUCCAUCAACGCACCCGGCUCAUAUUUAGCUAUAAAAUGUGAGGCCAGGUUACGAACCGGAAGCAUUUCUUUCAACCAAAGUCAUUUGGAAAGGAAUAUCUUUGACACAUCCUUGCUGCCCCUUCCCCCAUUGCGGUGUCCCUGGCUGUGUGGCUGGCAGCCUGGCUCUUGGUGAGUCGCAGCUGCACCUGUGCCCACCUUCUCACCACGGGAGUAGGUGCUUCUCCUUUGGGCACCUUCUGGCUUUGCACCGUAAAAGUGAAAUACGGUGUGGUCCUGCAAGCUGCUUCUCCAGUGAUGUGAAAAGCGUAAGAGAGAGGCUCUGGGAAGGGGCAGAUGCUGCAGGUGCAAUGAUGCCAGCUGUUGAGGACGGUGCCCUGUGCCUGGGGAAGUACAUGCUGUAACUGGAGCUCCACCUUGGUACCCCACCGCUGGACCCUCCAAAGAGAGCUCUGACAUGUAUGAAGUUUCAUAUACUCAAUUCCUUUACCGCUGGACUUGUGAGAAUUGUAUGAGGAAGGCCACUUUGAGGAUCAUAUUCAUGCUGGCAAUAAUGACAUGAAAAGCAACAGUAAUAGUAGCAACUAUCGUCAAGGUCCCAUAGGUACCAGUUUUCAUGCUUAACAGCACAACCAUCUCAUCCCUGGAACCAAGCAUCCCUGGAACCAAGCAAGAUCAGUGCUGUUGAUCUUCAUUUUGCAAUUGAGGUAACGGAGGCUCAGUUAACUUAAGUAACUUGUCAGGGGUACAAAGUAAGUAUAAGUGGCUGAGCUGUGAUUCAGAUCCAGGCCCAUCUGAUGCGAUAGCUCAUUCUUUUCUCCAUGACAUCAGGAGGCCUCCUCCUCCCUUGUGUUGCUCAGAGUUCUGAUAAGAAUCAGAUUUCUAGGUGAAUCACAAGAAGGUGACUAUUCUGGUUAGAUAACGGGAGAAUGGGCCCCAUCAUGGCAACAGACUCCUAAGACUCAUACAUCACAAGAAAGGGCUCCCUACAGCUUUGACACUAGGGUGCUUCUCUGUGCACCUCCUUGCUCCCCUCCCAUGAGAAGGACUGUCUUUCAUCCUCAUAGCUAUUAUUUUUGAAACAUCAGUUUUAAUUUGGGGCACCCGCUCUCUUCGGGAGAUUGCAAAAAUUAAAUCGUUUUUAAGCAACCCAACAACACUUCUGGGGUUUGUAAUAAACUUGUGAAAUUUGCGGAACUUGGUGGUUGAGGUUCUCUCCGUCCUACUUCCCUGGGGCCCCGAGGAGCUUUCGAGUUGGUUCUUCAUGCCCUCUUGUUUGGAGCUGCUUUUGUCAACUGGGCCCAGCUACUGCGUCUUGGACCAAGGAGGCGAUGAGCCCUGAAACAGUCCAGGGUCUCUAGGAGAGCAACUCCCAAACCAUGUUUCUGGCCCUGCCUUCCCUCUGUUAUUCUGGGGAAAAAACUGACCCUACGUGGGUGGGAGGUCCCAUCUACAGAGACCAGCCUUGUUUGUUUCCAUAGGAUUUGACUACUGAGGGGCACGAAAAUACAUAGCCAACUUCCCCUUGCAGAGUUCACUGUCUCCCCUUCCAGCAGAUGACUCCAGGAUCCUUGGAAGCAUAGGAACACACCCCAGUUGAUGACACUGUUUCCUCUCCUCUGCAGAAGAAGAUCCUCUCCACUCACAGGAAACAGCAGCAAGAUGGUUUCCAGGCACCAGCUGUCACUGGGCUUGUACUGUUACAGUCCAAGCUGAGCACGCAAGGCAGGGUGUGUUUCUGGCUCCCCAUAGCUGAAAGCUCAACUUCAUGUGGUCAGGUCUUGGAUGGCGUCAAGGCCUGUAGGGUGAACAGAACUCUCUGAGUCACCUUUCCCUGCUGUUCAGGGCCUUGAUAUAACAGACAGGGCCAUUGGCUCCACAGGGGCAUGGUGGGGAAGAAGGGUCCAGGAAGGCACUUUGCCUUUGUGUCUUGUCCUUGGUAUUUGGAGGGCAACACCCCUGUAUUUUUCUAAUCCUAUUAGCUAAGAAUCUGGAACCUGGGCCAGAGGCCUGGGUUCUAACACUAUCUCCACCGUUUCCCAACCAUGGAUACACCCUAUACUUUCCCUCGUCUGUACAGUGGAGCUAAUAAUAGUACCUAACUCAUGGAACUAUCAUGAGUCUUAAAUGAGUGUUAACACGCAUGAAGUGAAGUGCUUAUAUCUGGCAGAUAGUAAAUGUGUAUUAUCAAUUUAAUUUACACUAUUAUUUGACUGUAUUUCUACUAUACAGAGCAACUAUUGCCUGGUCAUAUGUCCUAACAAAUAAACUGUGGAGACAGACAAGUAACUGUCUCAGUGCUAAGGACACCACUGACCCUCAACAGAAUAAUGCCCCCUAAAGAUGUGUAGACCCUAAUCCCCGGAAUCUGGGAAUGUGUUAGGUUACACGGCAAAGGCAAAGGAAGGUUGCAGGAGGAGCUGAGGCUGCAAAUCAGCUGACCUUACAGUGGGAAGAGAAGCCUGAGUUCUCCAGGUGAGACCAAUGUCCAGCAUCCUGGCUGAGCCUGCUCCCUUUACAAACAAGGUUAGGAUUUAUAACUGCUUUCAUGGUAACAUCUGGCUCAUUUCUCUCAAGUUCCCCCAACUCUUUUUUUUUUUUUAGUAUACAAAUCUUUAUUCUAAAGUCAUUUCAUUUCGGCUCAAUUCCUUCUCUCUCUCUUUCUACCUGUUUGUUUGGCCUUUGGAGAUUGAGAAUGAGAAGUAACAGGACUCAUUACCCACAGCUAGUCACAAGAGGAGACAGAGGGAGAGUGAAUGCAAAAGAAAGGUACCAGAGAGGCCACCUUGCUGGCUGUCAAGGUGGAGUAAAGAGGCCACAAGCCAAGGGGUGUAGGCGGCCUGGUCUCUUCUGCAGCUGCUUUUUAAAACUCUAGGACUUUCUUCCACCAACAAAUUCUUUAGGUUUUAUCAGAGUUAGGAGGCAGUUAGCAUCUGCAACAAUAGAAAGAAUAUGUAUUAUUUGGAAUGCUUGUGUGGCUUAUACAGCUCCCAACCAGUUCGGGAGUCUUAACACAUUGUGCUAAAAGAUGCUGAAGGCUGGGUUUCCACUUCCCAAACAAUUUCAUUCUCUAAGAAAACUGCCGAUAAAGAUAAAAAACAUUACAGCCAAAUGGAGUCUUGCCUGAAUCCCAGGCCCUGCCACAUCGACCGCUGGUUCUAUCAGUGGCCAGUGUUCUGGAAACGCUUCCCCGACAUCAAGGAAGCCGGAUCCUCCCCACACAGUGAUGGGUUCUAGGCCAUUUUUGCUGCCUCGGUCUGGGAGCUCACCAUCCUCAGAAGCUCCCAGCACCUGGAGAUGUCUCGCAUCCUGGCUGAGCCUGCUCCCUUUAGCAAACAAGGUCAGGAUUUGUAACUGCUUUUGUGGCAACAUCUGGCUUAUUU